GCCUCUCUCUCUAUAUUCUCUCCCGCCUCCCAACCCGUUAAGAAUCUCGAAUUCUUCGCCUUUCUCUCGGACAGGGAUUGGGAUUUUUGGGUGAGGAAUUCAUGGAGAGUUUGGUGCGCGGCGGCUUGCGCCAAGAGUACCACAAGUGAGAUGUUUAUCGGUUCGGAUUGGGCAAUCAACGUUGAAUUGUGCGACAUUAUCAAUAUGGCGCCUUGACUGGCAAAGGAUGCCCUCAUGAUACUUAAGAAGCGCCUAGGAAGCAAGACCCCCAAAAUAAAACUUCGGACACGUUUUGUGAGCGCAUGAAACUUUUUUCUCCCGCAAUUAAGAAAUUUUUAUUUUUGCAAUUUGAUUUUGUAAGAUUCUUAUAAUUUUAUAAUUGCUCGUCAUAGUUUCCUAUUA